rfam:Gossypium hirsutum cultivar TM-1 chromosome 17, whole genome shotgun sequence
GUUUGCCGAUGAUGAUAAAUGUAUUAUCCCAGCUCAUUAUGAGACCUUUUUGUAGGGUCUGGGAAUUGAAUCUUAAUCCAACAUUUAUCUGAGUCUAAAC